GAUAUUUUGUUUCUAUUGUUCACAAUGGCGGCCAUUAUCAGUGGGUGAAUACGUUUACCCUACAUGGGCGAAUGCAAUUGGCUGGUUGUUAGCCGCAUCAUCGAUGCUAUGCAUUCCUAUUGGUGCGUUCGUGUUUCUAUGGAAACAAGAGGGAAAUUUAAAACAGAAAUGGAUACAAGCGUUCCAAUACCAGGGUACUACACUUGUUCCACAGAGUGAUUAUACUGAUACUUCUGUAUAAGAAUCUUAUUGUUACUUACUCUGUAUUCAGUGUUAAGAAAUAAAGAGAUAUAUCCAAGCGUGGCGGGGCAACCGUAGUGGUUAUAACCCAAGUUUACUUUGAAAAACCUCGUAUUUGAUUACAGGUAUUUGGUUUGAUACACCUUGUACUUGCUAAUACAUACAAAUCGUUUCAAUUUGCAAAA